UGUGUGUGUGUGUGGGGGGGGUCCAAGCUCAUGUCGGACUGGGUGAAUGAACGGCAGUGUUUCCAGCACAGCCCGAGUAUCAGUGUAAUAGAUGUGAAAUGAAACGCACAAAGAUGAUGAUGAUGAUGAUGAUGAUGAGGAUGUUCUCCUCCACUCCACUCCCCUUGCUUCUUCUGUUUCCAGCUGCAUUAAUUCACUGCCAGUCUGGCAGCAGAAGCUGAAAACACACGACAAGGAAACUCAUCUCUCUGAACAUCUUGAAGAGAAACUUUCCGACACGGCUUGGACCACGUUCAGCUACCGGUGGCCCGCGUUUCCGGCACAGACUCAGACGGAAGACGACGUUCUCCGCAGGUGCUGGCAUAAAUGGUGUUUUUGCUGAGCGUUGGCAGCUAGUCGAACACACACGGUAUUCCGCACGCGCACACACACACACACACACGCACACCACACACACCGACCGCUGUAACGUGUGUAGCGUGAGACGAGCGUGUUGAUGAAACCUGUAGGAGACGGCUGCGCGGAAGCCGUAUGAUCUCCAAUCCGCCGACACUUCAGAAAGCCCGAGCGCCGGGAGACGGUCAUCUGCAGACUCGUUUGCGGAACGGAGCUCAAAUGUCACCAAAACAGCAUCACUAAUAAGCUCUUCAGCUUUGAACAGACAAAAGGCAAGAACCAUGCUUCCUGUUCCUCAUAAGCAAGACUUUGAAGCUGCUUUCAGCAGUUAAUUGUCACUUUGCAGGAGUUUUCAGCUUUAAUUUGCUGUAAUGAAUUGCAGUUUGAGGACGAUCGAAUGCGUCGUCAGACACGGGUUUGAUUCGCCGUCUAAACGAAACGUUCAGAUGUAGCCUGGGUAUGAUUUUCUAGAUGUUUUCUUGUAACUCGGCAGAUGUGAGAGCUGUCUCUGAACAAGGAAAACCCUCAGAAGAGAGGAUGGGUUUAUUUGACUGGGAAGAGCUCGAUACGGAAGAAUCUAUUUUUAAGUACGUGCCGUUUAACCGAGCGUCUCGGAGAGCGUUCGCGUCUGGCCUUUUCAGAAAUCUUUGGCAAAUGCAACACUUGGAUCAGAUGGAUCAGUCCCUCCAGGAUUUCCUCCAGGAUGUGAUCCUAGAAAUGUACGCAAAAAUCAAGGGAACGCCGCAAUUUUCGAUCAUGAGUGCAGCUUAAAGGUCUCAUUUACUAACAAACAUCACAGAUAGACCGUGCAAACACCAAUUCUAGUAGUUUUCCACAAAAAAGCGAAAACAGUGGCAGUUUUUAAUGACCAAACCACUACAGUGAGCUGGGGGGGGGGUAUUUAUAUCACUACAGUAUUUUAUAUAAUAUAACGUAAUUUAUAAUAAUAUAUAAUUUUAUAGGCUUAAAUUAAAUAAAAAGCUAAAAAAAUUAAGUGAGGUUUUAUUUUAGCACUUUGGUCAGUGAAACAACUCGAUAAAGCCUUGUAGUGUCAUGUUGUUGCAAUGAGAAACAGCCUGAGGGCGCUGUGGGAUACGGUAUUGUGAUUGACCCGGGGAGAAGAGACGAAGUGGAAGGAGGAUGUGGACACGGUCGCACGUUUCUCUCUCGAAUCCAAAAUGUUUCCAGAUCGCCGAUGUUACGUUUGGUUUCCCAACAAGAUCCAUCGCAGCGGAUGGAUGGCAGAAUUCGCCUGACUGGAUGUUGUAGCGCUCAAACUCGGGCCGCGCGAUUAAUCGAAUAUGGAUCUCGAUUACGAGUUUUGAUUGCCCACGAUUACAUGAACACGAUCGACUGCGAUAUCGACGUUUAAAGUUCGUCCUCCGCUCAUAUAAAACUCCGCUGGUCACCAUAGAGCGGCGCAGGGAUGACGUCAUUUUGUAACGGCAAAACCUGGAAACGAGUUAGCAUUUUAGCACUUGGUGUUUCAGAGCGCGAGGGGAAAUCGUGACCCUAACAUGCUGCUGAAUGGGACUACAGACGUUGUCGGGGACAUUAAACGUCAUCACGCCGAACAGGAAAACACUUUGCAGGUAAACUGGUUCAGGUAUAACAAUAUGUUGUCCCUAAAUUCAAUGAAUAAUCGUGAUAAAUCAUCGUGAUCUCAAUAUUGAUCAAAAAUAAUCGUGAUCAUCGUUUUGUCCAUAAUCAUGCAGAGCUAGCUCAAACCAACCCGCGCCAAACUACCAGACAUCAUCAUAUAAGACAUUUGAUUAUGAUUAUGUAGUUUGUUUACUAAUAUAAAAUCUCCCGCUAUAUGGUAGGACAUAAAUACAAAUUAAUAUAGCGACGUUGUUGUUGUUGUUAUUGUUAUUAUUAUUAUUAUUAUUAUUGUACUUGUCAUAGCGCCAUCUCAAGCAGAAACUUUAAUGUGGCGUGUGAUGUGAGACCACUGCAUGUGGCACUCCACCACCGUGGUGGCAAACUACCACUGCAGUGGUGCUGUUGCCAUGGCCACAGUCACAGCCCUACAGACUGCUGGAUCUAACACUAGAGCUGCAAGCAGCGAUUAAGGGGCCAGGCAGCGAUGGAGGAAUAGCAGAAGGCUCUGAAAUCAGCACUUGUUUGCCAGGAGAUCCUACACCUGAAGGCAAAAUGUCAGGCGGUUGCUGAGAUAUGCCCUCACUUCUUGUUUGGUGACUUAUGUUUCUAAGUUUUGUUUCGAAAAGUCUCGUGAUGUCACGAUCCAGAGUUCAUGACGAUCAGACGCGAAGCGCGGCAAACUCAAACUAGCCGACUUUCUGUUUGGCAAAACCAACAGUCAGCACUUUCCGGAGACCCGACGAAAAGAUGAAUCACGAGUUGAUGUACAGAAGUUUGUGAAACAUAGCGCCACCUAAAGGUGAAUUUACACAAGAAAAUUCCAAAUGGUGGAAAAAUACUGUUGUAACUGUGUUGAGCGCAGCAUAACUCAAAGAAUCACCGGAAAGUGGAAACUCCGUUUCUGUCCUUUUCACAUGAAAACCACGUGGCAACACCGGAGACUGUGUGGUCCUUGUGUUGUUGUCCAGGACACACAAGGACACGUUAACGUUUAGACGCGCGCGUCUCUGUCCACCUCUGCAUGUGGUAGGAGCGAAUCUCCUCAAUGCGUAUGACCUCGUUUACACUUGUAUUUAGUGCUGACCAAUUAAGACGCGUUAACACCUAGUGUAAUCAGGGCUCGUGUGUCAGGUCUCUUACUCCCUUGCACGAGCAUGUGCUCUCUCUAUCUUGAAGCAAAAUAUUUCUUGCUUCCCCACUUGUGUGGUAAUGAGCUGGAUGAAUAUUCAUGAAGUGAAGCAGUCACCAGAAUGUACUUCUGAAAUCCUGUGUGAUUGUGUGUGUGUGUGUGUGUGUGUGUGUGUCUCUGCAGUAGAGGAUGAUGUCUGUGAGAGCAUCUGAUUAAUGUGUGUGUGUGUGUGAGAGAGAGCGAGAGAGAUAUGGAGUUAGUGAGUCUGUAAUAGUAGGAUGCUCUUUAGGAGAGGGUCUGAUUAAGCUCUCUGUGUGUGUCAGUGUAGCUGAAAUGCAGUGAAGCUGUUGGUUAUAAAGCAUUAUGUGGUAACAUUUCCAGAACAGUCCGAGUGGUACGCCUGAGCCGGUGUGUGUGUAGUGCAGCAGCGGGUGGGAUUUAAAAGUGUGUUUUAUAGUUACUGCUAAAACUAUUCGAGGUCGGUCGACGGUUAGCCGAUUAAUCGGCACCGAUAACAGAUUGCUGGAACUAUGGGCUAUCGUGCAAAAUCCACACCGGUAGUUUUUCCUGGUUGCGAAUGUUCCGGAGCGUCUGAGAAGGGUCCGCUGUACGUGAGCGGCCUCUAGAGGUGAAAUAAAAACCAUCACUGAGCCAUUCUGCUGUGUUAUUUGAAGUGUUUUUGAUUCAUUUUGGAUGUCUCUGUUUUUGUGUUAUUUGGAGUGUUACUUUUUGGGUCAGUUUGGACGGAAUAUCUUUUUAUUUUCUUGUAAUAUUUAUUACAAAUGAGUAUAUAUUCAUUUAUGUAUUUAUUUCAGUUUGAAAGAGUACAGUACAUUUUGAUGGUGCAGUCAGUGAGGUCUUUGGUGAUUUGGUCACUGCAACAAAUACUUCUUUAAGGCUAAAUCCGUAAAGUUCUCACUUUUAACGGUGUACGCUUUUAAUUACGUACUGAUUUGAAGGAUAUCAAAGUCACAGCAGUAGCAUUCACAUACUUAUGGAAAGACCCAGAUUGUUGUUUUUUUUAAAAUAUUUUUUUUUGGGGGGGUGGAGGGUAUAAGGCAACUAUUGUUGUGCCCAAAAAUGUUAAUGUUCCUGCAAACUGAUGAAGUGUUGAAUAUGAAUAGUCUUUUUGUGGUCAUUAUGAUAAUACAAUGACUCAGUAAUGGGGCACUUAUCUAUCUGAAUAAGGGGUCAGCAAUACUUCUGUGCAUAAUACAUGUGAGGUGCAAAAUAAUUUCAACGGAUCAUCAAUCAGAGGAUUAUCAUCUGCAGGGACGAGACUGAGAGACAAACAAUGUGAUUUAGUGUAGAAAACGGCAGUGAAAGAAUUAAAUGGAUCAUUUAGAAUACCUGCUUGCAUUUCAUAUAUUUAAUUUAAUGUAAUAGUAUUUAGUGUGUCAUUUUGCAUCUGGUGCUUGUUUGUGUGUGGGCGGAAACAUUUAUUAGCAGUCAGCAUUUUAUUUCGGGACUGUCACUUAU
ensembl:lncRNA